ACAGCAGCAGCCGCGGUAAAACGAAGGGUGCAAGCGUUACUCGGAAUUACUGGGCGUAAAGCGUGCGUAGGUGGUGGUUUAAGUCCGUUGUGAAAGCCCUGGGCUCAACCUGGGAAUUGCAGUGGAUACUGGGUCACUAGAGUGUGGUAGAGGAUAGUGGAAUUUCCGGUGUAGCAGUGAAAUGCGUAGAGAUCGGAAGGAACAUCUGUGGCGAAGGCGACUAUCUGGGCCAACACUGACACUGAGGCACGAAAGCGUGGGGAGCAAACAGGAUUAGAUACCCCAGUAGUCCCUGUCUCUUAUAA
rnacentral:rRNA from 1 species